rnacentral:rRNA from 1 species
CCGGGUUGCGGACAGUGUCUGGUGGGUAGUUUGACUGGGGCGGUCUCCUCCCAAAGAGUAACGGAGGAGCACGAAGGUUAGCUAAUCCUGGUCGGACAUCAGGAGGUUAGUGCAAUGGCAUAAGCUAGCUUGACUGCGAGAGUGACGGCUCGAGCAGGUGCGAAAGCAGGUCAUAGUGAUCCGGUGGUUCUGAAUGGAAGGGCCAUCGCUCAACGGAUAAAAGGUACUCCGGGGAUAACAGGCUGAUACCGCCCAAGAGUUCAUAUCGACGGCGGUGUUUGGCACCUCGAUGUCGGCUCAUCACAUCCUGGGGCUGAAGUAGGUCCCAAGGGUAUGGCUGUUCGCCAUUUAAAGUGGUACGCGAGCUGGGUUUAGAACGUCGUGAGACAGUUCGGUCCCUAUCUGCCGUGGGCGCUGGAGAAUUGAGGGGGGCUGCUCCUAGUACGAGAGGACCGGAGUGGACGCAUCACUGGUGUUCGGGUUGUCAUGCCAAUGGCACUGCCCGGUAGCUAAAUGCGGAAGAGAUAAGUGCUGAAAGCAUCUAAGCACGAAACUUGCCCC